rnacentral:rRNA from 1 species
AGCGCACACGGUGGAUGCCUUGGCGGUCAGAGGCGAUGAAGGACGUGGCAGCCUGCGAAAAGUAUCGGGGAGCUGGCAACAAGCUUUGAUCCGGUAAUGUCCGAAUGGGGAAACCCACCCGCUUGCGGGUAUCCUGCAGUGAAUACAUAGCUGCUGGAAGCGAACCUGGUGAACUGAAAUAUCUAAGUAACCAGAGGAAAAGAAAUCAACCGAGAUUCCGUAAGUAGCGACGAGCGAACGCGGACUAGCCCUUAAGCUGGAUUGGUUCUAGGAAAACGCUCUGGAAAGAGCGGCCAUAGAAGGUGAUAGCCCUGUAUCUGAAAGGGCCAUUCCAGUGAAGACGAGUAGGGCGGGGCACGUGAAACCCUGUCUGAACAUGGGGGGACCAUCCUCCAAGGCUAAAUACUACUGACCGACCGAUAGUGAACCAGUACCGUGAGGGAAAGGCGAAAAGAACCCCGGAGAGGGGAGUGAAAUAGAACCUGAAACCGUGUGCGUACAAGCAGUAGGAGCUCCGCAAGGAGUGACUGCGUACCUUUUGUAUAAUGGGUCAGCGACUUACUGUUCGUGGCAAGCUUAACCGUAUAGGGGAGGCGAAGGGAAACCGAGUCUGAUAAGGGCGCAUAGUCGCGGGCAGUAGACCCGAAACCGGGUGAUCUAGUCAUGCCCAGGGUGAAGGUGCGGUAACACGCACUGGAGGCCCGAACCCACUCCCGUUGCAAAGGUAGGGGAUGAGGUGUGAUUAGGAGUGAAAAGCUAAUCGAACCCGGAGAUAGCUGGUUCUCCUCGAAAGCUAUUUAGGUAGCGCCUCAUAUGUAUCCUCUCGGGGGUAGAGCACUGUUAUGGCUAGGGGGUCAUCGCGACUUACCAAACCAUUGCAAACUCCGAAUACCGAGACGGACUGUAUGGGAGACACACGGCGGGUGCUAACGUCCGUCGUGAAAAGGGAAACAACCCAGACCCACAGCUAAGGUCCCAAAUUCACUGCUAAGUGGAAAACCAUGUGGAAAGGCACAGACAGCCAGGAGGUUGGCUUAGAAGCAGCCACCCUUUAAAGAAAGCGUAAUAGCUCACUGGUCGAGUCGGUCUGCGGGGAAGAUUUAACGGGGCUAAGCAGUGAACCGAAGCUUGGGGUGCAUAACUUUGUUAUGCGCGGUAGAGGAGCGUUCCGUAAGCCGUUGAAGGUGGAUUGAGAAGUCUGCUGGAGGUAUCGGAAGUGCGAAUGCUGACAUGAGUAACGAUAAUGCGGGUGAAAAACCCGCACGCCGAAAGCCCAAGGUUUCCUUGCGCAACGUUAAUCGGCGCAGGGUGAGUCGGCCCCUAAGGCGAGGACGAAAGUCGUAGUCGAUGGGAAGCAGGUUAAUAUUCCUGCACCUCGCGUAAGUGCGAUGGAGGGACGGAGAAGGUUAGGUGUACCAGGCGUUGGUUGUCCUGGGGAAAGGCGGUAGGUUUGGAUCUUUGGCAAAUCCGGGAUCCUUUAAGACCGAGCACCGAGACGAGCCUUUAAGGCGAAGUCACUGAUACCACGCUUCCAGGAAAAGCUCCUAAGCUUCAGCUUACGCAGACCGUACCGUAAACCGACACAGGUGGGUAGGAUGAGAAUUCUCAGGCGCUUGAGAGAACUCGGGUGAAGGAACUAGGCAACAUGGCACCGUAACUUCGGGAGAAGGUGCACCCUUUUUGGUGGCUCGUGCGAGCUAUAGCUGAAGAGGGUCGCAGUAACCAGGCCGCUGCGACUGUUUAUCAAAAACACAGCACUCUGCAAACACGAAAGUGGACGUAUAGGGUGUGACGCCUGCCCGGUGCUGGAAGGUUAAUUGAUGGGGUCAGCCGCAAGGCGAAGCUCUUGAUCGAAGCCCCAGUAAACGGCGGCCGUAACUAUAACGGUCCUAAGGUAGCGAAAUUCCUUGUCGGGUAAGUUCCGACCUGCACGAAUGGCGUAACGACAGCGGCGCUGUCUCCACCCGAGACUCAGUGAAAUUGAAAUCGCUGUGAAGAUGCAGCGUUCCCGUGGCAAGACGGAAAGACCCCGUGAACCUUUACUAUAGCUUUACACUGAACGUUGAGUUCGUCUGUGUAGGAUAGGUGGGAGGCUAUGAAACUGUGGCGCUAGCUGCAGUGGAGCCAUCCUUGAAAUACCACCCUGUCGUGCUUGACGUUCUAACCUGGGCCCAUUAUCUGGGUCGGGGACCGUGUAUGGUGGGUAGUUUGACUGGGGCGGUCUCCUCCUAAAGAGUAACGGAGGAGCUCGAAGGUACGCUCAGCGCGGUCGGACAUCGCGCACUGUGUGCAAAGGCAUAAGCGUGCUUGACUGCAAGAUCGACGGAUCAAGCAGGUAGGAAACUAGGACUUAGUGAUCCGGUGGUUCUGUAUGGAAGGGCCAUCGCUCAACGGAUAAAAGGUACUCCGGGGAUAACAGGCUGAUACCGCCCAAGAGUUCAUAUCGACGGCGGUGUUUGGCACCUCGAUGUCGGCUCAUCACAUCCUGGGGCUGUAGUCGGUCCCAAGGGUAUGGCUGUUCGCCAUUUAAAGUGGUACGCGAGCUGGGUUCAGAACGUCGUGAGACAGUUCGGUCCCUAUCUGCCAUGGGCGUUGGAGAUUUGAGAGGGGCUGCUCCUAGUACGAGAGGACCGGAGUGGACGAACCUCUGGUGUUCCGGUUGUCACGCCAGUGGCAUUGCCGGGUAGCUAUGUUCGGAAGCGAUAACCGCUGAAAGCAUCUAAGCGGGAAGCGCGCCUCAAGAUGAGAUCUCCCGGGGCACAAGCCCCCUGAAGGAACCAUGUAGACUACGUGGUUGA